GACGAACCGUGCGAACGUUAUUCGGAUUUACUGGGCGUAAAGCGUGCGCAGGCGGUUCGUUGUGUCGGUGGUGAAAUCCCCGGGCUUAACCUGGGAAUGGCCAUGGAAACUGGCGAACUGGAGUGCGGCAGAGGGGGGUGGAAUUCCGCGUGUAGCAGUGAAAUGCGUAGAGAUGCGGAGGAACACCGAUGGCGAAGGCAGCCCCCUGGGCUAGCACUGACGCUCAGGCACGAAAGCGUGGGGAGCAAACAGG
rnacentral:rRNA from 1 species